GGGGGGGUCCCGGAUCAUGGCUCGGGACGAACGCUGGCGGCGUGCCUAAUACAUGCAAGUCGAGCGGAUCUUGAUGGAGCUUGCUCCAUUCAAGUCAGCGGCGGACGGGUGAGUAACACGUGGGCAACCUGCCCUGCAGAUUGGGAUAACUCCGGGAAACCGGGGCUAAUACCGAAUAACAUUGGAAACCUCAUGGUUUCCUUUUAAAAGGCGGCACUCGCUGUCACUGCAGGAUGGGCCCGCGGCGCAUUAGCUAGUUGGUGAGGUAACGGCUCACCAAGGCGACGAUGCGUAGCCGACCUGAGAGGGUGAUCGGCCACACUGGGACUGAGACACGGCCCAGACUCCUACGGGAGGCAGCAGUAGGGAAUCUUCCGCAAUGGACGAAAGUCUGACGGAGCAACGCCGCGUGAGUGAAGAAGGUUUUCGGAUCGUAAAACUCUGUUGUCAGGGAAGAACAAGUACGGGAGUAACUGCCCUGUGCCUUGACGGUACCUGGCCAGAAAGCCACGGCUAAUUACGUGCCAGCAGCCGCGGG
rnacentral:rRNA from 1 species